ensembl:lncRNA
GUGUUAUGGUUCUUUCAUAAAUGUCACCAAAGCACAGCCUCCUCCUCCAACUCCUCCAUAGACUCUAAUGUUAAAAUGGCUCAGAAGGUUCGUUUGAAAAUCAGAAGAGCAUGGUGUUUUUACACUGUCACCACGUCCAUAUAAUAAACUCCACAGGCAUGAAAACUGAGAAUUAGGUAGACUGGACAUUGCUGCCACUCACGGUGAAAGAAUUUCGUCAAUAGGACCUGUACUUUUCAUUUGGGAAGGAUUUGUUUGGGCCUGACUUUUCUGUUCAUUUUAAGCAGCAAAAGUGAGGUGCAUGUCUGUGCGUGUGUAUGGAGCCAUUGGGUGCAGUCACUAUAGCAACCAGGCUCACACCUGCCUGCUUAACGAGCUCUGUCUCUCACUGUGCCAAGAUUCAUCUUAAACACUUGUCUUUCAACCACUGCUGUGUCCACAGUGUUUGCUCUACAGCCAUCAUUUUACCCUCAAAACGUCGCCAUCGUUCUUCUCUUUCCAACAGCGUGUCUGUCAAAGCUCAUAGAUACAAACUUUUUAAACUGUGUGGAUCCAAGUGGAGGGAUCACAUUUUAGUCAUUCAGUGAUUUAAAGAAUAUGAACUUUUAUUAUUCAUUCAGAUGUUUUCUGACUUUAAAUUUUCUUUUCUC